AACGAACGCUGGCGGCAGGCCUAACACAUGCAAGUCGAGCGAGGACUUCGGUCCUAGCGGCGGACGGGUGAGUAACGCGUGGGAACGUGCCCUUUGCUACGGAAUAGCCCUGGGAAACUGGGAGUAAUACCGUAUGUGCCCCUCGGGGGAAAGAUUUAUCGGCAAAGGAUCGGCCCGCGUUGGAUUAGGUAGUUGGUGGGGUAAUGGCCUACCAAGCCGACGAUCCAUAGCUGGUUUGAGAGGAUGAUCAGCCACACUGGGACUGAGACACGGCCCAGACUCCUACGGGAGGCAGCAGUGGGGAAUCUUAGACAAUGGGCGCAAGCCUGAUCUAGCCAUGCCGCGUGAGCGAUGAAGGCCUUAGGGUUGUAAAGCUCUUUCAGUGGGGAAGAUAAUGACGGUACCCACAGAAGAAGCCCCGGCUAACUCCGUGCCAGCCGCCGCUGUAAGAC
rnacentral:rRNA from 1 species